rnacentral:rRNA from 1 species
UACGUAGGGAGCAAGCGUUGUCCGGAAUCAUUGGGCGUAAAGCGCGCGUAGGUGGCCACAUAAGUCCGUUGUGAAAGUCAAAGGCUCAACCUUUGAAAGCCGAUGGAUACUGUGUGGCUAGAGUACGGAAGAGGCGAGUGGAAUUCCUGGUGUAGCGGUGGAAUGCGCAGAUAUCAGGAGGAACACCAAUAGCGAAGGCAGCUCGCUGGGACGUUACUGACACUGAGGCGCGAAAGCGUGGGGGGCGAACAGG